ACUAUAAAAUUUGGUAGAACUAAAUUCUGUGUUUAAAUUGAAUAAAUAAAAUGAUUUCUUACUAUAGAUCACGUUACAAAGAUGUUUUCACAAUCCAAACUGCAGUCCGUCAGAAGCACAUCAGGCUGUGAACAUGUGACACAUUCUCAGCUGUGCUGCUUCAUUUAAACCAGGAAGACUCUUCUGAUCUGGUUCUGGUUCUGUUUUACAGAUCUUCCUCUUCACUCUGGCUGGGUGGCUGCUAUUUGCAUUCUCACUGUCAUUGUCUUGUUUGUGGGUCUAUUUUUCUGGCUUCGUAAUCGUCAAAUGAGAAUAAUCAGUGAAAUACGGAGCGUUGCCAGUAGUAUUGCAGCAGUUUCUCCGGAAGAACUUGAACGUCAGUUGCUGGAUCGACUCAACAAGAAAACGCCUUCGGGGGAGACGACGGAAUAACUUUAACCUCUGAAUGUGUGACGAGCAUCUCCUCCAGCUUUGUGAAACCUGACGCUGGAUCGAUUCAGCCAGAAAGCGGCUUUGGGCGAGAAGAUUCUCUUUAACAAUCAAAUCCCAGAAUUCUGCUGGUAGUUUGCAGCCUUAUUGAAGCUUUUUAUGUUUUGGUUCAUGUUACCUGCUUUAAUGCUGAAAGAUUCUCUUCUACACAAGUGUGAUGUUGGAGUGAGAUUAACAAACAAUGAUUGAAUGUUAAUAAGCUUCACACUCAGUUU